UGGCCGCUGUGUUGACACGCUCUGCACCUUGCUCCUGCCCUCGCCUUUCACUCUUCUUAUCCCCCCGAUACCCCCAUCAUUCCUGACAGCUCCUGAGUGCCUGGAUUUCAUCAUCCAGCCCUGCAGGAUGCUUCCCUUUCUUCUGGGGAAGGCUGUCCCAGACAGAGAGGAGGAGAUAGAGGUAGAUACCAAGAUUGAUACGGAGGAGAUGGAAAUAGACGGAGAAGACCCUGGAGAGGAAGAGAUGGAGGUGGAUAUGGAAGAGUCCGUUGACGACAUGGAUAUUGAUUAAAAAGCUGCAAAGGACAUCAUGGACAGAGAUGCCACCUUUUUGUACAUAUAUUUUACACUUUGGUGUUGUCAUUAGCAUAUAGGUUUUAGGGCUUUUUGUCUUCUGUAAAUAUGUUUCAUAUAUUUUUUGUUAGAU